rnacentral:rRNA from 1 species
GUGGGGAAUAUUGGACAAUGGGCGAAAGCCUGAUCCAGCCAUGCCGCGUGUGUGAAGAAGGUCUUCGGAUUGUAAGGCACUUUAAGUUGGGAGGAAGGGCAGUAAGUUAAUACCUUGCUGUUUUGACGUUACCGACAGAAUAAGCACCGGCUAACUUCGUGCCAGCAGCCGCGGUAAUACGAAGGGUGCAAGCGUUAAUCGGAAUUACUGGGCGUAAAGAGCGCGUAGGUGGUUUUGUAAGUUGGAGGUGAAAUCCCCGGGCUCAACCUGGGAACUGCCUCCAAAACUGCAUGACUAGAGUACGGUAGAGGGUAGUGGAAUUUCCUGUGUAGCGGUGAAAUGCGUAGAUAUAGGAAGGAACACCAGUGGCGAAGGCGACUACCUGGACUGAUACUGACACUGAGGUGCGAAAGCGUGGGGAGCAAACAGGAUUAGAAACCCGUGUAGUCC